rnacentral:rRNA from 1 species
GAUGAACGCUCGCGGGAGGCCUAACACAUGCAAGCCGAGCGGUAGAGUUUCUUCGGAAACUUGAGAGCGGCGCACGGGUGCGUAACACGUGUGCAACCUACCUUUAUCUGGGGGAUAGCCUUUCGAAAGGAAGAUUAAUACCCCAUAAUAUAAUGAUUGGCAUCAAUUAUUAUUGAAAACUCCGGUGGAUAGAGAUGGGCACGCGCAAGAUUAGAUAGUUGGUGAGGUAACGGCUCACCAAGUCAAUGAUCUUUAGGGGUCCUGAGAGGGAGAUCCCCCACACUGGUACUGAGACACGGACCAGACUCCUACGGGAGGCAGCAGUGAGGAAUAUUGGACAAUGGGUGAGAGCCUGAUCCAGCCAUCCCGCGUGAAGGAUGACGGUCCUAUGGAUUGUAAACUUCUUUUGUACAGGGAUAAACCUACCCUCGUGAGGGUAGCUGAAGGUACUGUACGAAUAAGCACCGGCUAACCCCGUG